CCACAGAGCAGUGGUUUGUGGAAAGACUGCGGUAGUUCCUGUUUGCCCUUGUUAGCUUUGGUUACAAGAGGAUGUUUCAUGGGACUGAGAGAAGAAAGUACAGCAGAAUCCAUUGCUUUCAAAAGUUGUUGCAGUCAGGAAAAGAUGUAGAGAUGCCUGCCCAUCUCCAGCUUCCGUAUCAUAGCGGGCAUUACUCGCUACUAGUCUAAGUCAAACAACAACGGCCUCACGAACUAGUGUACAUUUUCAACAGAGAUGACAGCUUCCAAAGACCUCUCCAAGAACUCUACCUUUGGGAGUCCACUUCAGCUGCCAGAAGAGGAUGCGCGGCUGGAGGAGUUUUCUGCAAGCACAGUGUUGCCCACUCAAGUCAGUGUACAAGCUGUGAUGGAUUUGUGAUGCAUGUGUUAUCUCACAUGGGAAAAAGGAACUUUGCAAAUGAGAUUAAGAAUCUUGAAAUGGAAAGAUUUUCCUGGAUUAUCCAACUGGGUCUAAUGUAUUCCCAAGGGCCUUAUAAGAGAGAGGAAGGCUGUCAGAGCAACUGAAAGUGAUAUGACCAUGGAAACAAAGAGAUUUGAAGAUGCUACGUGACUGGCUCUGAAGAUGGAAGAAGGCAUCAGGAGUCAAUGAAUGGAAGGCAUGGAGCAUUAGGAGCCAGAGAAAGCAAGGGAAAGGAUUCUCCUCUCAGAGCCUCCAGAAGGAAUCAGCCC